GACAGAGGCCCCAAGCGUUAGGCGGAAUCACUGGGCUUAAAGCGUGUGUAGGCGGACGCCUAAGUGUCUUGUGAAAUCCCACGGCUCACCCGUGGAACUGCUGGGCAUACUGCGGGUCUUGGGCCAACUAGGGGCAGCCGGAACAAGCGGUGGAGCGGUGAAAUGCGUAGAUAUCGCUUGGAACGCCGAAGGUGAAAACAGGUCGCUGGGGAUGUGCCGACGCUGAGACACGAAAGCCAGGGGAGCAAACGGG
rnacentral:rRNA from 1 species